AUGCGCAGCAACAAUUUCUCUGUAAAUAUCAGCACAAGACGUGCCCCCACUGGUUGUUACACCCAUAUGUUGUCGAAGUGCGCAUGUACCAAUAUUUAAAUCGAAGUUGUGCAACCAAAAACUAAACAUCACAUCAUCAGGGUUGUGUACAAUAUCAACUGGACCAAGUUUUUAAAAAGUUAAAUUAAGAUUUUAGGUUUUUUUUACAAUUAGCUAAACGCAAAUCUAGAGUCAUUAUUCCUUGAGGAAAACACAUGGUUUUAAUCACAAUUUACCUAUCUUCCAUAAAGCUUCCAAAGACAUAGAAAUGAGAAUUGAAAGAAUGAGCUAGACAAUAUUGUCCUUCUGGGGUGUUUUAGGUUGUGUGGUAAGAACAAUAAAGGCAGCGUAAGAUUGAGCCUGGAUCAGCCCUGGAGCUAUGGACUCAGCUAAAAGGUGUAGAUGGAAUUCAAAGUGGUAGUGGUGGGAAUAAAAGAAUUUUAUGACCAACUAUUUGAUUUCAUUGUCUUGUAUCUUAUUAGGUCAACCUGCAGUCUGAUGCGGAAUUUCGCAAAACUGCAAGCAUUUAUUCAGGGAUUGGAAGUUUCUUGAUUGCACUCCCAUGAUAUAGAUCGGUUACGGUACUUGGAAGUUGUCAACGCUUAAGGGUUUACUCUACUCAAGGAAUCUAAGACACUCCAACUACAUUGUUGAUAACUUAACAACCAUUGUCACUAGUAUA
rnacentral:lncRNA from 1 species